AACGAACGCUGGCGGCAUGCCUAACACAUGCAAGUCGAACGAGACCUUCGGGUCUAGUGGCGCACGGGUGCGUAACGCGUGGGAACCUGCCCUUAGGUUCGGAAUACCUCCCCGAAAGGGGUGCUCAUACCGGAUAAUGUCUUCGGACCAAAGAUGUAUCGCCUUUGGAUGGGCCCGCGUUGGAUUAGCUAGUUGGUAGGGUAAAAGCCUACCAAGGCGACGAUCCAUAGCUGGUCUGAGAGGAUGAUCAGCCACACUUGGACUGAGACACGGCCCAGACUCCUACGGGAGGCAGCAGGAGGGAAUAUUGGACAAUGGGCGAAAGCCUGAUCCAGCAAGGCCGCGUGAGGGAUGAAGGCCUUAGGGUUGUAAAGCUCUUUUACCCGGGAGGAUAAUGACAGUACCGGGAGAAUAAGCGCCGGCUAACUCCGUG
rnacentral:rRNA from 1 species